GACAGAGGGGGCAAGCGUUGCUCGGAAUUACUGGGCGUAAAGGGCGCGUAGGUGGGAUGGCAAGUCGGUCGUGAAAUCCCUCGGCUCAACCGAGGAACGUCGAUCGAUACUGCUGUUCUUGAGGAUUGCAGAGGAGACUGGAAUUCCCGGUGUAGCGGUGAAAUGUGUAGAGAUCGGGAGGAACACCGGUGGCGAAGGCGGGUCUCUGGGCAAUUCCUGACGCUGAGGCGCGAAAGCGUGGGGAGCAAACGGG
rnacentral:rRNA from 1 species